UGCUGUAGAAGUGAUGAGAUUUUUCAUGUCUCUUCUCUGACUUGUAAACCUUGGAGAGACUUUCUACUUCUCUGAUCACAGCA
ensembl:snoRNA